AGGGAUGUAGCUCAUUGGUGCAGCGCCUGCCUGGCAAGCAUGAGGUCCUGAGUUUGAUUCUCAGUACCAAUA
rnacentral:tRNA from 1 species